AAUGGUGAAACCAACACACGUGCGCUCACCUACACGGAAAGAGAAGCCAAAAAAAAAAGAAUUUGCGUUGCACAAUUUGCCUGUUUCGAAUUCACCUGUCGCAUACGCUUUCAUCACGGGAAGACGCGGCUCACACACACACAGGCAUAACACAUACGAGGCUCGAUAGUGCGUGCCUGUUUCUUUGCGCCACUCCAUUUGUCUCCACAGAGGAGCAUCAGACACGGGAAGAGCCAGCUCCAAGGUUUGCCGUAAUCCAUCGAUCGCCACCUUGUUUCCUGCUGUGAGGGGCCGACGCACGUCCACCGUAAUCAAUCCGUUGUGUAUCAUAACAAGGGGCGGCAUUUCUCUUUCUCGCUGCUCGUUUUGCCCCUCCCCCACCCUCCUCUGUUGCUGCGGAAGCUUUGCUUCACGCGUACUUCGCGCGCGACACGUAUGCAUCGGCGUACUUACCCACGCCGUUUUGUGCGCGCGUGCAUGUGUGUCUGUGCCGCCGCUUCUGGCUCACUGUUUGCCCUCUGCUGAUAUCCUUUGCAUUCUCCUCCUUCCACCCCCCACCUGUGCGUGCGUGUGUGUGUGUGUGUGUGUGUUUGCCAUUCUUCAG
rnacentral:misc_RNA from 1 species